rnacentral:ribozyme from 15 species
UCUUUUUUUCCCUCUUUCUUUCUUCUUCUUUUCUUCUCUUUUUCUUCCUCUUCUUUCUCUUUUUUCUUUUUCGCGCUGCCGUAAUACUAAAAAAUUGCCCAGGAAAGUGCUAA